rnacentral:rRNA from 1 species
UACGAAGGAUCCAAGCGUUGUCCGGAUUUACUGGGUUUAAAGGGAGCGUAGGCGGAUCUUUAAGUCAGUGGUGAAAGCCUGGAGCUUAACUCCAGGAAUUCCAUUGAAACUGAAGAUCUCGAGUAACUGGUUGAGGUUACUGGAAUGUUGCAUGUAGCGGUGAAAUGCUUAGAUAUGCAACAGAACAACCAAUUGCGAAGGCAGGUAACUAAGCCAUAACUGACGCUGUAGGCUCGAAAGCGUGGGGAGCAAACAGG